rnacentral:rRNA from 1 species
GUGGGGAAUCUUGGACAAUGGGGGAAACCCUGAUCCAGCAACGCUGCGUGAAGGAUGAAGGUCUUAGGAUCGUAAACUUCUUUUAUGUGGGACGAAAGCUUCGGCAUGACGGUACCACACGAAUAAGCCCCGGCUAAAUAUGUGCCAGCAGCCGCGGUAAGACAUAUGGGGCAAGCGUUACUCGGAAUCACUAGGCGUAAAGCGCGUGUAGGCGGAUGCACAAGUCUGCUGUGAAAUCUCCCGGCUCAACUGGGAGCGGUCGGUGGAAACUGUGUGUCUAGAGUUAGGUAGGGGUAAGCGGAAUUCCUGGUGUAGCGGUGAAAUGCGUAGAUAUCAGGAGGAACACCUAUGGCGAAAGCAGCUUACUGGGCCUUAACUGACGCUAAGACGCGAAAGCUGGGGUAGCAAACAGG